rnacentral:rRNA from 1 species
CUUGGUCAUUUAGAGGAAGUAAAAGUCGUAACAAGGUUUCCGUAGGUGAACCUGCGGAAGGAUCAUUAUCACGUAUCCACGUAUAAACCAUCGCGAACUGUAUCUUACCCUAUGGGCAAGUAGAGAUAGUGCAAAAUCGAACACAUGAACUAUUUACUGUGAUUUGUAUGUUCGUUUGAUUUCGCCAUCGAGUUUUCACUUAAAUUGAGAAUUCUCGUGCUCUCUUCCCUUAGUUGUAUCUAUUUAAAUCACUAAAAUUAACAAUUUGAACCAACCUUAAAUUUUGAACUUAUUUGUUUCUUACUCUUUCGGGAGAAGAAAUUCAUUACGAAACAAAGAAUAACUCUUAGCAACGGAUAUCUUGGUUCUCGUAACGAUGAAGAACGCAGCGAAAUGCGAUACGUAAUGCGAAUUGCAGAAUUCAGUGAAUCAUCAAAUCUUUGAACGCAAAUUGCGCUUUCCGGAUAGGCCGGGGAGCAUGCCUCUUUGAGCAUCGUUUCUACCCUACCUCAACAGCUUUCUGCUUGCAGAAGGUUGCUGGAUAAUGAGUGUCUCAUCGAAAUGUUUGAGUCACUUUAAGAAGCGUGAGUUUCUAUUUACUCCUAGUUAAUUCUAUUUUUUCGGAAAUGGAAUGCCCUGAUUUACAGGUUUACUGACUAGUGACGUGGUUAAUUAAUUUUAUUACGUUACUAAAAGUCUCUAAUGCUUGAAUUUCAAGGUUAAAGCCAAGGGUUAGUUACUCGAUGGAAAUUAAUUCUAUUUUGAAUUAGAUCUCAAAUGAAGCAAGAUUACCCGCUGAACUUAAGCAUAUUAUUAAGCGGAGGAAAAGAAACUAACAAGGAUGCCCUCAGUAACGGCGAGUGAAGCGGGCAAAGCUCAACCUGAAAAUCGGAUUCCUUAGCGGGAUUUCGAAUUGUGGGGUUCUGACGCGUGAUCAGUGUGUGACCCAGGUAUAAAUCUCUUUGAAACGAGGUAUCAUAGAGGGUGAGAAUCCCGUCUGUGACUUGGUGUUCGCCGCGUACGAUCCGUGUUCGCAGAGUCGCGUUGUUUGGGAUUGCAGCGCUAAAUGGGAGGUAAAUUUCUUCUAAAGCUAAAUAUCGACGAGAGACCGAUAGCGAACAAGUACCGUGAGGGAAAGAUGAAAAGAACUUUGAAAAGAGAGUUAAAAAGUACUUGAAAUUGCUAAGAGGGAAGCACUGGAAACCAGUCGUGACUCGCGUGUAUAUUUAGCCUUUGCUCCUGGAUCCGCGUAGUGUGGAGAGCCCAAAGCCUUCUAGCUAUUCGGUGAAAUGGUGGGGGUGCCCUGUACUGUGAGUUGAGUCAGAAUCAAUUUGAUGCGUGAGAGAAAGCUAUCACAACGGUAGGACCGCGGGGGCAACUCCAAGGUCUGUUUAGUGUGGUAGUCCUAUCAUGCGUUAGAUUGAGGGACAAUCGAAAAGCGCACCACUAGGUUUUCCGUUCCCUAACCCUGGGGUCUCAGGAGGCGUGGACAACAAAGUUGUGCUGUCUCCGAAGGGCCUUACUGGAAGGGAUGAACGAGAAGCUGCUUUCGAGAUUCUGACGAAAUGGUUUUCAUUGACCCGUCUUGAAACACGGACC